GCUGCUGCCGACAGAAGGGGCCUGGACCCCUAGGAUGGCGCCUUUUCCCUGGCUCUCCAGUUCUGCCCCUCAAAAAGCUCCCAGGCCAGGCCUUGGACGCCUCUGGUGGUGCCAGGAUGGGAGUUGGUGGGCUCUCCGUCCUCUCACGGGUUCACUACUUGUUUUAAUUGUGCCACCGUCACUUUGAAAUUGCACUUUCUGCACCCACAUCCCUCACUUCAGGACUCUUCUCUGCACCCCCCCCCCACCUACUUCUAAUACAAAACUGUUUCUAAAUAAUCAGAAAAGGGCUGUGUUUUCUCCAGAACUAUAAAUGCAGAAGCAGGGAAUACAUAUAUUAGACCACUUUAAAAAAAAUCAAGCAAACAACAUACAACGAGCGUUCGAUGGCAAUUCGUCUUCCUCAUCUUCCUGUGUCUAAAUAUUUCACUUCGUGUCUGAUGAGUUGAAUUUUUAAUCCAUAAAAGCUCCCACAGAAAUAAAUCUGUCAGUCUUAAAGGUGCCACAGUACUUCUGUUUCCAUUAUUUUAUUCAUAUACUGUAAUUUGGUUUGGUUUAUUAUGCACACAGAAAGGGACUACAGUACCUCUGUCAAAACUUUACCAGAUGGGAGUUAUAGUCACACUAGAUGGCAAAUGCCAUCUUGAGAAGGGCCAAGGGUUAACCACUCUUGCAGGAGAGUUUUGGCUUUCCUUGUUUCCCAGUCUGAUUUUAAAGCAUUUUCUGAGGAUCAAAUCUCAAGCAAAUGUCUGGGUGGAUAUUGAAUUUCAACAUCAUUUUUGGUCUGAACAUUUCCAGGGUGUCGGUGGAUGCUGAUUCCAUACAAGAGACAAUCUCUGUCCUCCAGCAUUGUGAAGUGUCUCGCGUAUAUUCUUUACAAGGCCUGCUUUUCUUGAAAGAACGGCUCAGGCAGUUUUGCAUCUACUGAAUUUGCCCCAGCUAAGUGGAAAAUAUUAUGGAAUUGCUGAAUGUACUGAAAGGGAAGGUCCCAUGUCAGACAUGAUGAUGGAAACCCUACCAGCGCAGCUGUGAAAGGACAAUCAUGGGCUGGAGUUGUCACCGCAAGGUUGUUCACACCAGGGGCAACUCGCACGUGCAUCCUAGCCCUUGGGCAAGUUCUCCAGGUCUCAGACUCUAGGCCCCAACACAGUAAAUACACGGCAGAUCAAGGAGAAAGAUCUGCAAAGAGCAGAGCCAAAAUUCCAUCGCUCUCGAGGAGGGUUCUUUGUUCCAGCAGCCCUCAAACUUUAUAAGGCCAAGACGCUGGCCCAACUGUUAUAUGGGUCAUCCCUGGGGCCGCUUCGCUCCCAUUUUGCACCUCAAGGUAAGCAUCCAAUCUAAAUUUUUAAGAACUAUCUUACAGGUCCCUAGAUGUUUGUCAAAUGCCAGGGUAAGAUUGGAGGCAGGUUGCCUAAAAGUUGAAGCCUGGGUUGUUAUCCUAUCUGUCAAUAUAUGUAUGGAUAAAAGGACAUCUAAAUCCACAACGUCUAUUUCCUUUGAUAUUUUAUGACAACCUCCAGUCCGACUGGGUGAAGUCUGUCCAGAGCUAUUCGCUGAAAAUCGGCCUUUCCCCUCAGGUGCUCUUAUCUGAUGGAACAGAUCGGGGGGAAAAAUUAGUUAAGCGGGGAAUUGAGGAUAUGGAACAUCAAGCGGACCUUCCCAGCAUACAGAAUAUGAUGAUGAGGGCCUACGUCAAAAACGCAGUGGAGCCGACAAAAUUAUUUAACAUCUCUUGAAGUAGAAGGGUUUGGAAGAGCCUUCACCGAGGAAAGGUGCUUAGCCCUCCCUUCUGCUGUACUUGAAGGGAAGGAAACAAGUACGCAAAUACCUGUUUCGCUGAAAGGCUUUGGAGCUGUCCCUUAAGGGAGGUCAAAACUAGAGCACACAUUCCUCACUUGCCCACAUUAUGAGGUGGCCUGGAAGAUCAUCAUCCCACUGACCCAAAAAAUUCCUGGCCAUUCAGAAAGAAAGCAGACGUGAAUGUCUUCUUUCUGAUUCUGUAUUCAGACCAUGGCCUUGCAGCAGCACCUCCAGGGAGGCGGACAUCCCACGGUGCAGAACCAGCCACCCACGUGUCAAAAAAGGGUUAGACCCCUCAUCAUGAG